AGAGUUUGAUCCUGGCUCAGGACGGACGCUGGCGGCGUGCCUAAUACAUGCAAGUCGAGCGGACCUUUCGGGGUCAGCGGCGGACGGGUGAGUAACACGUGGGCAAUCUGCCCGAUACUCUGGGAUAACGCUUGGAAACGAGUGCUAAUACCGGAUGGUCUUCUUGGCCGCAUGGCCGAAAAGGAAAAGACGCGUUCGCGUCGGUGUCGGAUGAGCCCGCGGCGCAUUAGCUAGUUGGUGAGGUAACGGCCCACCAAGGCGACGAUGCGUAGCCGACCUGAGAGGGUGACCGGCCACACUGGGACUGAGACACGGCCCAGACUCCUACGGGAGGCAGCAGUAGGGAAUCUUCCACAAUGGGCGAAAGCCUGAUGGAGCAACGCCGCGUGAGUGAUGAAGGCCUUCGGGUUGUAAAACUCUGUCAUUCGGGACGAACCGGAGUCUGAGGAAAUGCAGACUCUCUGACGGUACCGGAGGAGGAAGCCCCGGCUAACUACGUGCCAGCAGCCGCGGUAAUACGUAGGGGGCAAGCGUUGUCCGGAUUCACUGGGCGUAAAGCGCGCGCAGGCGGUGAUGUAAGUCUGAGGUGAAAACCCGAAGCUCAACUUCGGGACUGCCUUGGAUACUGCGUUACUUGAGGAUAGGAGAGGCAAGGGGAAUUCCACGUGUAGUGUAAAA
rnacentral:rRNA from 1 species